rnacentral:rRNA from 1 species
UACGUAGGGUGCGAGCGUUGUCCGGAAUUAUUGGGCGUAAAGAGCUUGUAGGCGGUUUGUCGCGUCUGCUGUGAAAAUCCGGGGCUCAACCCCGGACCUGCAGUGGGUACGGGCAGACUAGAGUGUGGUAGGGGAGACUGGAAUUCCUGGUGUAGCGGUGAAAUGCGCAGAUAUCAGGAGGAACACCGGUGGCGAAGGCAGGUCUCUGGGCCGCUACUGACGCUGAGAAGCGAAAGCAUGGGGAGCGAACAGG